AUGGGAAAUCUCCACUCCAAAAACCAAAAAUCAAAGCAAAGGACCAAGGGACAAGUCCCAGUCUUAGAAGAAGCAAAAAGGAGAAAGAGAUUCCUCCAUUACUUCCAAAAGAAGAAUGGGGUUCAAAAAAAUGAUUCCUUGACCUCUCAGGAGAAUCUGGAUCCAAGCAUGGAAACUUUGCCCCUUGACACACCACCAUUGAGGAAUGAGAGCAGGGUCUGGCAGGGCCAGCCAGCCAUUGGAGCUGUGAUGCCUGCACCCCCAUACUCCAAACUAUGGGAGGCUGGAGAUGGGGGUGAGAAGGAGGAGAACCACAGAUCAAGUAUGCAUUUUGACUCUUUCCUGGUAUAUGGUGUGAGAUGUUGAUCCAUGCUUACUCUCUGCCAUACUGCUUUCCAGUUUUCCCAGAAGUUUUUGUCAAAUAGUGAGUUUUUCCCCCAAUAGCUUGGAUCUUUGCAUUUGUCAAACACUAAGUUGCUAUGGACAUUAACUGUCAUGUGUUAAUUGCCUGAUGCCAUUCCAUUCAUCCACCACUCUAUAUCUUUUCUCUUUUUUUUACUUUUUUACUUGAACUACUAAAUAGUAAUAAUAGCUAGCAUUGAUCAAGCAUUUUGCAGUUUUAAAAGUGAUUCACAAAUAUCUCAUUUUCUCUUCAUAACAACAUUGGAAAGUAGAAACUAUUAUUAUCCCUAUAAUCAAGUAAGAAAACUGACUCUGAGGGAGAUUAAGUAAUUUGCCCAGGGUCACACACACACACACACACACACACACACACACACACACACACACAAAUAAUUAGUGUCUGAAGUCACAUUUGAACUCAUGCCUUUUGGACUCCAGGUCCAGUACUCUAUCCACUGUACCUCCUAGCUACCUCUCUUGCUGUUUAGCAGUCAUUUUAAGAAACAUUUUAAGAAACUUGGACAUCCAGAACAGUAGCUUUGAAGCUACUUCAUUGGGAAAAUUUCUUCCUGCUCCUUCCUUCCCUCACAGAUUACUCUGCAAAACUUGUAAAGCUAUAGACAGGUGAGUCCUGCAUAUUUCCUUAGACGAGCAGUUCUCAAACAUUUUAGCUGGAAGACUUCAUGUUCUUUUUUUUCUGCACCACUCUAUGUCUCAGCCAGUGCCGGAUUGUUUGGAUAACUUUAUAGUAUAAUUUGAGAUCUGGUACAUCCAGGUCUCCUUACUUCAUAUUUUUUCCAUUAAUUCCCUUGAUAUUCUUGGCCUUUUGUUCUUCUAGAUGAAUUUCAUUGUUAUUUUUUCUAGUUCUAUGAAAUAAUUUUUGGAUAAUUUGAUUGGUAUGGCACUGAAUAGGCAAACUAAUUUAGGUAGGAUUCCAUUUUCACUAUAUUACCUUGGUCUAUCUAUAAACAAUAUUUUUUCCAAUUGUUUAGGCAUUCAUAUCUUUUAAUCCAGUAUUUCCAUUAUUUGACAUAUAUCCCGGGGUUGUCAAAGAUAAAAAUAUCUCAUAUAUACAAAUUAUUGGUAUCAGGAAUUUUUGUAGCAGCAAAAAAAAAAAAACAGGUGGGAACAGAAUAAGUGACCAUAGAUUGGAGAAUUGCUGAACAAACUGUGAUAUACAGCAAAUGGAACUAUGAUUUCAUUAUUAUAGGGAACUCCCAGGUCAAGAAACUCCAUAUAUGUGUAGGUGUACACAUCAUAUAUGUAUUCACAAUUGUAAUAAGGUGAAAGAGGGAAAAGACAGGUAAGGUAUUUUGCAGAAGUCAGAUGCCUGGUCUUGCAAACCAAGGUUGGCUCAUGCACAGAACUAAGCAGGAGAGAUUCUACAGAGUGUCAGGAACAGAUAUAAGGGGACACACAGAGCCCGUUGGGGGAGUGUUCCUGUCUCUUUGAGAGCUGGGAGAGAUCACUUCCUACUGUGGUUUACCAGACUGUCUGUGGGAAGCCAUUUGCCUGAUCCUGUGAUUCUUCUAUCAAACAUCCUGUCUCUGAGAUAGAGAUUCGAUCCACCUGGAUUUCUCCUGUUCCCAUCAGCCUUGUUCCUGUGUUCCAGUAGUCGAAUAGAUUCCAUCUUUACUGUAGUAAAGAAACCAACCAGAGCCCAGAGAUCUGCCUGUCUGGGAGUGAAGCCAUACCAAUAUUGGGUGGACCCACUAGGGUGACUUUGCUACCACCUUCAUCUUAUCUGUUCCAACCAAACUAUGAACUCAUCCACCAACAUUAAUUGGAGGGCCAGUAAGUCAGGAAGCCAGAUAGGGUUUUGGGGUUCAAGGCAGAUUGUGAGGAAAGGGAGCAUCAAGGCCAGAAGAGGAUUUCAUGAGAAAUCCAUAGUUUGGAGGGAGGAGAAUUAGAGAAACUAGAAUUAGGGAAUCCUAUCCCUGGCCCUCCUUCCUUUCCCUGUGUUGAAAUACUCAAUAAACCCAUGUACCUUUUUAUAAAAAGGCA
ensembl:lncRNA